rnacentral:rRNA from 1 species
GACGAACGCUGGCGGCGUGCUUAACACAUGCAAGUCGAACGGAAAGGCCCUGCUUGCCGGGUACUCGAGUGGCGAGCGGGUGAGUAACACGUGGGUGAUCUGCCCUGCACUUCGGGAUAAGCCUGGGAAACUGGGUCUAAUACCGGAUAGGAGCCAUUUUUAGUGUGAUGGUUGGAAAGUUUUUUCGGUGUAGGAUGAGCUCGCGGCCUAUCAGCUUGUUGGUGGGGUAAUGGCCUACCAAGGCGGCGACGGGUAGCCGGCCUGAGAGGGUGGACGGCCACAUUGGGACUGAGAUACGGCCCAGACUCCUACGGGAGGCAGCAGUGGGGAAGAUUGCACAAUGGGCGCAAGCCUGAUGCAGCGACGCCGCGGGGGGGAUGACGGCCUUCGGGUUGUAAACGCCUUUCGCUAGGGACGAAGCUUUUUGUGACGGUACCUAGAUAAGAAGCACCGGCUAACUACGUG